GGAAGCCACAGGAGACGCCAUCUGGGCAGCCCCGUGUUUGCAGCAGCUGGAAGGAGACGCCCCAAGAAUGUGGAUAUCUAAUCUGGUGGCAACUUCUCAGAACUUCAAAAUGGAAACAGGGUAACAAGGAGAAGUUGACUUGAGAACUUUCUAGACUAAUCCAAAGUAAAUAAGCAAAAGGCUGGUGUGGAAGAGGGGAUCUAGAACAGACAGCUGCUUAUAGAGAAGCAAUACAGAGCUGAAAACCCUGGCUAUCUACCGUCCCUGACCCUCCAAAUGCCCAGCGACCUUUGGCCAGUUCCUUCUAUGGUGAGUCCACUCCUCAGGUCUAAGGGCAGUUAAGAGAAUAACGUGAGAUAAACCAUAAAGACUGGCUGCACCAUUAAAGUUCCUGCUUCUGACCUCAAAUGUUAAACCAAGAUAUUUCUGAUUUAUCUACUUCAUUAGCCCGUGGUGUGGCAACUUCUGGGUCAGAACCACAUAGAGGCCAUCUUGAAGAAGAGGGUGGACGGAGUCAUGAAAGAGAUGGUGGAGAUUUGGUCCAUUCUGGAAGUGGCUCGCCUCCAGGGAACUAUCAGCCCUCUUGUGACUCCCAAGGAAGACUGAGAGACCAUGCACCUCUGAUGGCCAACACCCAGAGAGGACCUCUCCCAUCCUCCACCCCUCCACAAGCCUCUACUGCCAUCUCUGCCACUUCUUCAUUGGCCUGGCCUUUGCUGUCCUCCCCUCUCCCCCCACCCUGGGGCUGUUCAGAAGCCCACAGCCUCAGUCCCUAAUUCCGCACCUAAUUUCUCAUCAGCACAAGUCACAGAAACACAGACUUAGAAUUCAAGCUGCUUGCCUUCAAAUUACUGUUCAGAAAUACUCUUAUUCAAUUUCAUUACUUCCUGAGAGCAAGCAUUACCAACCGGGGGUCUUUCAACCUCUAAAAUUAUAUGCCUAAUUGUGUGGGUAUAUUCUUCCUGGGUUUAUCAUAUUACUUAUCAUAAUAUUAAAGAGAUCACAGACCCCAAAAGUUAGACAUUUGUUCCAAACUCUCUUCUCUUGCCUCAAUCUCCCACUCCAGCCUCCUGCAUCCUUUUCUGCCCCUUACUUACUGAGAUGAUCCAAGUCAUCCGGCCUGAGUGUCCUCCUCUAGCCUCCUCUGCUCUCACAAGAUGCACCUUUUCCUCCUCUUUCCAUCUUUAAAGGAAGAGGUGUCUUUGUAUCUUCUCAAGGUCAGUAGUUCCUCAUUUUAAUCCUAAUCUUGUAUCUUCUGUUUACUUAAAUACCUUGCUCCAUCAAUGACUGCACAUUUUUCUGACAUCUUUAAUCUCUUAUACUCCCUUCACUUCCCCUUCGUGCAUUGUGGGAUGGAUGCAAAGGGAAGAACACCUCUGCCUCACUCCGUUGUCACCUCCACCUCCCCUCCCCAAUCUCUGAUGGGUAAGGAACGAAAGUAAGAUGGGCACAACCCCCGCCUUUCUAGAUAGUCCCCUGUAGUCAAGGACACAGACGCGUGAGAAGGCAAGAAGUACUCAGAACCAUGAGAUGAAAAGCAAAGUGCCCAUGGGAACAUGCAGCACUAAUCCAGACUUGGGGUCUGGGAGGCGCACAGAGAGCAGAGUGGCGUGGUUAAGAGUAAAGACAGUGGGCUACUUGUCUGGUGUCAAACCCCAGCUAUACAGCUGUACUAGUCACGUGGCCUUGGGCAAAUCACUUCAUUUUGCUGGCCUCAGUUUCCUUAUCUAGAAAAUGGGGAUAAGAACAGCAUCUGUUUUAUAUAAUUGUUGUGAGGGUUAGGUUAGAUUGAUAAAUGUAGAGAACACAGCAGAGUGCCUGGCACAUAAUAAGUGAUACAUAAGUAUUAACUAGUAUUUUAAUAUCUAUAUCAGUCUCUGGACUAGACUCUGCACCUACAUUAUUUCAUUUAUUCCUCACAAUGGCCCUUUCAAUUAGGUAUUAUUUUUGUGUUUCCUUUUUUUUUUUUUUUUAAGUAUACUUUCCAGUUCUUCACUACCUCUUUGCUAUGGAAUUCUACCCUGACAUCUUUGCUGUGAGACUUUUCAGAACCUCCCACUAGAGUAGGUAGAGUGAGUAAGCCACCCAGGCUUAUUUCAUGUAACUUGCUGGGAACGGAGCAUUAGAAUGUUAUCAAAGGAGACACAAACAGAGGUCUUGAAUAUGCUUACAUGAUCUGACAUGGUCUCCUCAACGUCUGACAUUUACUAUGAAGAAUACACACCCUUGUUUAAGUGGAAUGAGGAGAUGGUUGAGGCCAACCCGAACCCAACCCACAGCCCAGGGUGAAUCUAGCAGACCCACAUUCUGAAGCAGAGCCAUUCUGGCUGACCUAUAAACCUAGGUUUGUUGUUGCAAAGAAGGUGAGAUUUGGGAGUGGUUUCCUAUGCAGGGUUGUUCCAGAAAUAUGUGACUGGUACUGCCCCUUCACCAACUAUUUACAGCUCUGCUGCUCCCAGCUUUUCCAAUCACCCUCGGGCCAGAUGACUUGGAUCAUUAGGCAGAUGUUUAUUGGUUUUCUUCCUCCACUCUUGGAGUAGUGCCGGUGCUCAGAUAGGGAGUGGGAUGAGUGCGUGAAAGCUUAUUAUCCCUUUGCUUGAUAGCAAAAAUACAAAAGAAGCAGUGGAGUGAAUAUAUAAAUUAUGGUUCAGUAUAGUAUCUAGCAGUUAUAAUGAGUGAACUAGAUUGCCGAAGCAAGAAUAAA